rnacentral:lncRNA from 1 species
UUCUUCUUAGAUUAAUGAUAGUACAAACCUGUUAUUUUUAUCUUGAAAUGCAGAGACUGGAUGGAGGCUGAGGGACAGUCUCUCUUCCUGUGUAAUGCCGUUUAAUUUACUCAUUUGGAAUGUGUUUGUGUGAAAAUAUCGCAGUCACCACUUCUGAAGAAGGAUUCAACUUAUAUUUGGCUUCAUGCUGCCUCUGUACUCCGUCCAUACUUUGAGCUGUCUUGCAUUGGAUGAGCUGUUUCACCUGAAGAAGAUCCCCAUCUAUGAGAGGCACUACAUGUGACAACUACGAACUUUCUCUUCAGCAGUGGUUAAACUAUUAUGCAUUACUGACAUUAACAAACAUAUAU